UGCAAAGCUGAUGCUCUUUUGGAGAGA
rnacentral:piRNA from 1 species